rnacentral:tRNA from 1 species
GGAGUGGUAGUUCAGCUGGUUAGAACGCCCGCCUGUCACGCGGGAGGUCGAGGGUUCGAGUCCCUUCCAUUCCGCCA